CCUACGGGAGGCAGCAGUGAGGAAUAUUGGUCAAUGGGCGGAAGCCUGAACCAGCCAAGUAGCGUGCGGGAUGAAGGCCCUACGGGUCGUAAACCGCUUUUGCACGGGGAUAACACCCUCCACUUGUGGAGGUCUGCAGGUACCGUGCGAAUAAGGGCCGGCUAAUUCCGUGCCAGCAGCCGCGGUAAUACGGAAGGCCCGAGCGUUAUCCGGAUUCAUUGGGCUUAAAGGGAGCGUAGGCGGGCGUUCAAGUCAGCUGUAAAAUCGCGCGGCUCAACCGCGCCCCGCAGUUGAAACUGGACGCAUUGAGUACACAACAGGCAGGCGGAAUUCGUGGUGUAGAGGUGAAAUGCAUAGAGAUCACGAGGAACCCCGAUUGCGAAGGCAGCCUGCCGGGGUGCGACUGACGCUGAGGCUCGAAGGUGCGGGUAUCAAACAGGAUUAGAUACCCGAGUAGUC
rnacentral:rRNA from 1 species